rnacentral:rRNA from 1 species
AGAACGAACGCUGGCGGCAGGCUUAACACAUGCAAGUCGAACGCCCCGCAAGGGGAGUGGCAGACGGGUGAGUAACGCGUGGGAAUCUACCCAGUUCUACGGAAUAACACAGGGAAACUUGUGCUAAUACCGUAUACGCCCUACGGGGGAAAGAUUUAUCGGGAUUGGAUGAGCCCGCGUUGGAUUAGCUAGUUGGUGGGGUAAUGGCCUACCAAGGCGACGAUCCAUAGCUGGUCUGAGAGGAUGAUCAGCCACACUGGGACUGAGACACGGCCCAGACUCCUACGGGAGGCAGCAGUGGGGAAUAUUGGACAAUGGGCGCAAGCCUGAUCCAGCCAUGCCGCGUGAGUGAUGAAGGCCUUAGGGUUGUAAAGCUCUUUCAGUGGGGAAGAUAAUGACGGUACCACAGAAGAAGCCCGGCUAACUUCGCGCCAGCAGCCGC